UGAAUUAAUCUGUUCAGAAUGAACAAGCAGAAUAGUCUUUGGAUUUGAUCCAAAUCCCUGAAGCACUUUGGGAAUGAGAAUGGCUAUGCCAGACAGAGAGACCCUGGCGACUUAUGAUACUGCAGAACACAACAGGCACUUCAGAUUGGUCCCAGGCAAAAGAAAGCAGUAUAGAGAUUUAUUCUCCCACUGGCAUGAAAGCUGUGAUUCUGACCACCUUCUACAUCACUGUCUACCACCCCUACACCAGCUCUUAGAAGACAGAGUAACUACAGGAUGCUGUGGUACCUGGAGUGAUGCCAGACUGCAGAGGCCACCUGGUGACAUGAGGAGAGAUUCAACUUAACAUGGUGAGGAUGGCAGAGUAGAGCUAAAGUGGAAAAAGCAUUUCCCUGAUGAAUUUAAGAAGCUACUGAAUAAAUAUGUCUGGAAGUA
rnacentral:lncRNA from 10 species